rnacentral:rRNA from 1 species
AGAGUUUGAUCCUGGCUCAGGAUGAACGCUGGCGGCGUGCUUAACACAUGCAAGUCGAACGAAGCAUUUUCUUCGGAGGGUGCUUAGUGGCGGACGGGUGAGUAACGCGUGGGUAAUCUGCCUUACACAGGGGGACAACAGUUGGAAACGACUGCUAAUACCGCAUAAGCCCACGGGACCGCAUGGUUCUGAGGGAAAAGAUUUAUCGGUGUAAGAUGAGCCCGCGUUGGAUUAGCCAGUUGGCGGGGUAACGGCCCACCAAAGCGACGAUCCAUAGCCGACCUGAGAGGGUGAUCGGCCACAUUGGGACUGAGACACGGCCCAAACUCCUACGGGAGGCAGCAGUGGGGAAUAUUGCGCAAUGGGGGAAACCCUGACGCAGCAACGCCGCGUGAGUGAGGAAGUAUUUCGGUAUGUAAAGCUCUAUCAGCGGGGACGAAGAUGACGGUACCCGCAGAAGAAGUCCCGGCUAACUACGUGCC